AGUGGCGAACGGGUGAGUAACACGUGAGCAAUCUGCCCUUGACUCUGGGAUAAGCGUUGGAAACGACGUCUAAUACCGGAUACGACCCUCGGAGGCAUCUCCUGGGGGUGGAAAGAAUUUUGGUCAAGGAUGAGCUCGCGGCCUAUCAGCUUGUUGGUGAGGUAAUGGCUCACCAAGGCGACGACGGGUAGCCGGCCUGAGAGGGUGACCGGCCACACUGGGACUGAGACACGGCCCAGACUCCUACGGGAGGCAGCAGUGGGGAAUAUUGCACAAUGGGCGAAAGCCUGAUGCAGCAACGCCGCGUGAGGGAUGACGGCCUUCGGGUUGUAAACCUCUUUUAGUAGGGAAGAAGCGAAAGUGACGGUACCUGCAGAAAAAGCACCGGCUAACUACGUGCCAGCAGCCGCGGUAAUACGUAGGGUGCAAGCGUUGUCCGGAAUUAUUGGGCGUAAAGAGCUCGUAGGCGGUUUGUCGCGUCUGCUGUGAAAUCUGGGGGCUCAACCCCCAGCCUGCAGUGGGUACGGGCAGACUAGAGUGCGGUAGGGGAGAUUGGAAUUCCUGGUGUAGCGGUGGAAUGCGCAGAUAUCAGGAGGAACACCGAUGGCGAAGGCAGAUCUCUGGGCCGUAACUGACGCUGANGAGCGAAAGCAUGGGGAGCGAACAGGAUUAGAUACCCUGGUAGUCCAUGCCGUAAACGUUGGGAACUAGAUGUGGGGACCAUUCCACGGUCUCCGUGUCGCAGCUAACGCAUUAAGUUCCCCGCCUGGGGAGUACG
rnacentral:rRNA from 1 species